rnacentral:rRNA from 1 species
CAAUCGCCGCGGGAAUACGUAGGGUGCAAGCGUUAAUCGGAAUUACUGGGCGUAAAGCGUGCGCAGGCGGUUAUAUAAGACAGAUGUGAAAUCCCCGGGCUCAACCUGGGAACUGCAUUUGUGACUGUAUAGCUAGAGUACGGCAGAGGGGGAUGGAAUUCCGCGUGUAGCAGUGAAAUGCGUAGAUAUGCGGAGGAACACCGAUGGCGAAGGCAAUCCCCUGGGCCUGUACUGACGCUCAUGCACGAAAGCGUGGGGAGCAAACAGGAUUAGAUACCCGAGUAGUCCCUGUCUCUUAUAC